CUCGCAGCUGUAGCCGCAGUCGCAGUCAAAGCUAUGACAGAUUGGAGAGGCCACAUGAAAGCAAUUUUGACAAGAAGGAUGUUACAGCUCCAGAAUUUGAAGCUCCCAAAUCAGGGAUGUCUCCUAUGUCCCCAGGUACGCAUGGUAAUGCAUUUUCAGGAGUGGAGGGGCUACCGGCGGGGGGGGGGGGGGGGGCCGGGGGGGGGG
rnacentral:misc_RNA from 1 species